rnacentral:misc_RNA from 1 species
CAUGAAGAACGCAGCGAAAUGCGAUAAGUAGUGUGAAUUGCAGAAUUCAGUGAAUCAUCGAAUCUUUGAACGCACAUUGCGCCCAUUGGUAUUCCAAUGGGCAUGCCUGUUCGAGCGUCAUUUGUACCCUCAAGCUUUGCUUGGUGUUGGGCGUUUGUCUUUCGAGACUCGCCUUAAAAAGAUUGGCAGCCGGCAUACUGGUUUCGGAGCGCAGCACAAAUUGCGGUCUGUUCCUGAAUGUUGACGUCCAUGAAGCCCCCAUUAUCACUUUUGACCUCGGAUCAGGUAGGGAUACCCGCUGAACUUAAGCAUAUCAAUAAGCGGAGGA